rnacentral:lncRNA from 1 species
CUUAUAAAGCUACUUUAAUUAAUUCCUAAAUUUAUUCUCAUAAAACUGGUUGAGCUACUUUCUCAAAGAGUUUCUUUGUUUCUCAGUCAAGGUGCACUAGUUCUUAUAUCUUUAUAAUCUUUCUCAAUAAAAAGUAAGUUCUAAACAUCAGUCCACUUUCCACCAAUAUUAAGUAUGCUCAUCAUAAAUCCCUAUGUGAAGUAAAAAAGGGUUUAUAGAAAUGAAAAGAAUGUAUCCUUAUAUGUCUUGACUUUCCUAAGUGUAUAACAUAAUUUUCCUAAAUCAAGAAUAAAACUACAUAUGGUGGGUUUUGUAUAAUGAUUAGGUUUUCUAAAAGGCCGGAAAUAUGGGCUUAGGUUCUAGUUGAUUUUAAUCAAUGUGGUGCCUAAAAUUCUUGUGACCUUUCAGAGAAUGAUUGCUGUCCAUUAUCAAUUUUGUCCCCAAUGUGCUGAGAUAGUAGAGCAGCUUUCUACUUUGUCCUUGACAUGCUGAGGGGUAGUAGAACAGCCUUCAAGGUAGUAGAACAGCCUUAUGGCAUUUAACAUACUCAUGUCUCCUGUCAAGAACAUGAGCAUGAAAAUGAGAAGUCCCAAUUACAUAUAAAAGGGUCUCAUGGUUUCGGUUUCCCACCAACCAGCACGGCUUUGCCAGCAUUCAUUCUCACUGUGGCCUUGUCAAGACAGUGGGAGAGUGGCUUUGCCAGCACUUAUUUUCACUAUGACCUUGUCAAGACAGUGAGAGACGGUGGUCGCUUUCACCAAUUGCUCAGCACUGUUUUUAUAUCAAGAGUCUGCCUCUGAUUUUGUUUCUUCUAGGGGGUUGCUCACCUUUUCCAUGGAGGCUUAUUUCUUGUGUGCUUGGUGUCAUGUUCCUUCUCCUGAUGGUUGCAACCAUUACAAUGGCUUUUUUUACUGCAAACUGUGAGUAACCAGAGAGUCCUCUAAAUUGUCUUCCCUUGGAAGCAUUAUUUCUUUCAUAUAAUAUGAUAAGCAGAAACUAGGUUCACAAUUUUACCUCAUCAAAAUUCUACCUUGACUGGGGUGGUAGUUCAGUGGUAGAACAUUUUCCUGGGAUGUGCUAGGCCUUCCUUAGGCUCAAUUCCCAGCAUCAGGGGGGGGGGGGGGGGGGGGAAACAAAAAACUUACCUUUAAAUUUUCUUUAAAAUUUCUGACUUAUGCUUAUAGAAUAUAGACUUUUAUUAUUUCAUUUUGAUGUAUUAAUUUAAAGGAAGAUCUAAUUAUGAUAUUGACUAUUUUUGUAGCAUUUUCUGAAAGAACAUCUUCCUCAAUGCAACAAAAAGGUAGGCAAUGAUUUUAUAGCUUGGCUUCUUAUACUGAUUUAAGAAGAAAAUACUUUUAUUAUUUGUAUUAGUUCCAUAAACAUAGAGCCUUUAUAGCAAGGUACUACAAUAUGUACUUACAGAAGUUAUAAAAUAUAGUCCCCCAAACAACUUUAAGAGAUAGAAGUUUAUGUAACUUUCAAAUAAAUUCAUUUGAGAAAUUCUUGUGAGAUCUCAUAGGUUUAUAGAUCAUAAAAUUAAAUAACAUAAGAACAAAUUUUUGAAAAGGCAGAAUUUAUGUUGAAAGGUCAAAAUUUCCAGCCAAAAAAAUUAAUCUGGUGAUGUAACAUGAAGGUAUUUCAGUCUGUAAAUGCUAUAAUGAUAUAGAAGUAAGAAAACUAAUGGUUCAGCUAUUUUUAUCAUCUUUACGUAAGAUUCCUAUGCUAUCAUAAAGUGUAUAUUCAUAAGGUGUGUUUUUAACAAAUAAUAAACAAAAUCAGAGUUUGUGUAUCUUCUCAGUGCAAUGACAAAGAAUCUUUGCCUAGGACCUUGCUGUCAUCCUUGUCCAAAGAAUUGGGUCUGGUUCCGAUGCAAUUGUUAUUACUUCUCCAAGGAACAGUUAUCUUGGAGGGAGAGUCAAAAUGUCUGCUUAUCUCUAAAUUCCAGCCUCCUAAAGAUAAACAGAGAUGAGAUGGUGAGUUUUUACCGAGUGUCAUAAUAAUAUGAGAGAUAGAUGAGAUUGAUUAACUAGAUUGAACUGAGGAAUCUUUAACAUUUGCCCAAAUUCAGCACUAGACCAAUAGCUGAAGGAUAAUACUCAUUUAUCUUUUGUUUCCAUUUUCACAUGCAAAAUAUAGGUCUAUGUGGUGGGUAAAAAAAGAGAAAAAUAUUUUGAAAUAAUAUUUGAUAUUACCUUUAUAAAAAAUUAUAAAUAAUAAAUCCAGAGAGAGCCAGAUAUUAUAAGGAAUACCUCAGUCAAAGAAAAGGAACCUGGUAUAUCCCAGCACUAAUAGGGUAUAGCCUUUGUAGCUCCAAAUCUAAUACCAUUGUGUGACCAGUACAUCCGAAUCUGGAACACUAUGUGAGAAGAUGGAGAAUGGGUCCUAAAUGUGCAUCAGCAUUGAAGUAAAGGUCCCAUUGUGUCAGUUUUCCUAAUAGAGAAGAUCCUUUUUAUUAUGCACCCAAAGAGGUAGAUAAUGGGGGUAAAAUUAAUCUCCAAGAAAUCUGUGAUGGUUUUGUUCUUUUAAAAAUCUCACUCCUUUCUUCUUCAAACCAACACUAUUAUUUUUACUCAAAAAAAUUUAUUUAUUUUCUGUAUCUCCUAUAAAAUAAGGAUGUUGUGUUUUUCACUGCUACUCAUCAGCAUCUAAAAUAGUCUUGUACUACAGGAUACAUUAAUGAUUUUGUGGGCUGGAGGAAUUGAAUAAAUAUACAUAUGAUGUUGAAUUUUUUAAAGGUUCUUUCAUGCAGUUGAUGAAAAAAUAAUAAUUUGUGUAUUUUUUUCUUACCACCAGAAUUUCUUCUCUUUGAACUCUUUCUUUUGGAUUGGAGCCUACUAUAAUGAAAUUUUCCAUCAGUGGGUAUGGGAAAAUGAUUCAGCUCUGCCCCCUUAUUUGUAAGUAUCUACCUGACAUAAAGGGCUUACUUUAAGUAUAAUGUUUGCCUCAAGGAACUGCAUUUAUCAAAAAGAACAUUAAUGAAGGAUACCUGGGCCUUAAUUUCAAGGACAUUUGAGUAACAGAGGAAAGAAACAGUGAUUUGAAACCAAUCUUAUAUACAGAAUUGUAGAUUCUAGAAGUAACUAACAUUUAAUUCCUUAAUCUGCUCUCCCUGAGAAUCUUUCUUAUAAACCACAUUUGUUUUCUAGUGCUUCCAUAACCAAGUACCACAGACUGGGUAGUAUAAACGGAGGACACAUAUUCUCUCAGAGGCUGAGAUCAAGAUGUCAGCAGGUUGAUUUCUUCUGAGGUCUCUCUUCCUUGACUUUCAGACAGCCAUCUUCUCCCUAUAUCUUUGCACUAUGCCCAGGUUUCCUUCUCUUGUGACACCAGUCAUAUUGAAUUAGGGCUCAUCAUAAUUAUUUCAUUUUACAUCACCCAUUCAAAGACCCUAUCUCCAAACUUUCUGAGGAUCUGAACAUUUGAGUUUUGGGGAAAUGCAGUUCAAUCCAUAAUACAUUGCCCUCUGACUCCCCAAACUUUCCAUCUUUCUCAUAUGCAAAAUACAUUCUCAACAACUCCAAAGGUCUUCAAUCAUUUCAGCAUCAACUUUAAGUCUACAAUCUCAUCUAACUGUCAUCAAAAUCAGAGCUGGUACAUGAAUCAUUCUGUGGCAAAAUUCCUCUCCUGCUGAGAAUUUAGGAAACCAAAUAAUUUAUUGUAUCUUAGGACAUAAGGGUGGGACAAAAAUAGGACAAAUAUUUCCAUUCCAAAAGGAAAAAUCAGACAGAAUAAAGGGGUCAUAAUGAAUCCCAAGUAAGUCUGAAAUUUAUUAGGGAAAAGUCCAUUAAAUUUUAAGAUUCAAGAAUAAUUCUUUUUGGUUCAUUGCAGUAUUCUAUCCUCUGGCCCCACCAGAAUGGUGGCCGUGAACCCUUGACCCUCCAUGGUGGUAUCCUAGACUGAUGUAGUUGAGGAGAUGGCCCUUCCCUUUGAAACUGAGGCAGUUUCCCUUUUCUGGAGCCAGGGAGGAGAUAGCCCACUCCUGGGCCUGUUCCUCUAUAAUCUAUCAACUUUUCAAUUUACUAAAAUUUUACUUGUAUGUGCCACUAAGUGACAGAAAUUAAAUUUUGUUAAAUUACAUAAAAAUCGUAAUUUUAAAAUUUGCAUAAAACAAAAGUUGUAUAUUCCCUUUGAGAUUGUAUAGAAUUCCAUUAUAACUGUGAUAUUUCUUCUGUUUUAGGUUUCAGCUUCCUAGACCUCAGAUGCAACAAGCCUGUCUAUCUUACAAAUCAAAAGAAAUUUAUUUUUCUGAAACAUGUAAAGAGAAACAAGGCUACAUUUGUAAGAAGCACCUUAUUUAUCCUACAAUGUCAUAAUAGAGAUGAAAGUUACUUUUUUUAAUCCCAUGUCCUGACAGCACUGCCAAGCUUUAUACAUAAAAUAAUGUAAAUUUAUAUCUUUGAUAUAAUAAAAAUGAUAUCUAUACAAAUACAUUCCAGUGUCACUAAAGUAUACUAUAAUUUUGUUGAGCAGAUAGUUUUAUUUACAUGACUUUUCAUGAAAUAACACUGAUAGUAUUUAGGAGAAUAUUCAUUUUAUGAAACUUAUAAUAAAUGAUUUCUGAAUUAAGCAGUGAGAUAAGGUUAGAAUGUUGAAUAGUAAAGAUCCUAUGUUAUAUAUAGUUAUAUGAUUGUUACUAUCAUUGUACAUCGUGUGUGUGUGUAUGUGUGUGUACAUACAUGCAUGGCCUAUAAAAUUAUUAAAAUUUAGUGUUAAGCAAUAGCAAAGAUUUUAUAUGGAAAGAAAAACUGUAUGAUUACAAAAGAAAUAGAAUGGUUUCAUAAAUUUUGCAGAUUAGUUUUUCAUCUUAUUACAAUAUAAAUGUCCAAUUAGAACAACAAUCUUUUCAGAUAUCUCUAGGCACAUGGAGAUAACUAGAGACACAAGCACAAAUUUGAGUGAUACAGAAGGCUUUGGUUUAAAAUACCAAUUGUAAAAUUUCUAUUUCUUUAAAUUGUUCUGUUAGAUAAGUAUCUUUAAAAGAUAUGAAAUAAACAAUUAUUUACUUCUGGGCUGGGGAUGUGGCUCAAGCGGUAGCGCGCUCGCCUGGCAUGCGUGCGGCCCAGGUUCGAUCCUCAGCACCACAUACAAAAAACGAAGAUGUUGUGUCUGCCAAAAACUA